AGAGUUUGAUCAUGGCUCAGGACGAACGCUGGCGGCGUGCUUAACACAUGCAAGUCGAGCGGAACACUUUCUGUAGCAAUACAGAAAGUGUUCAGUGGCGUAAGGGUGCGUAACACGUGGGCAACCUGCCGAGAAGUGGGGGAUAGCUCGCCGAAAGGCGAAUUAAUACCGCAUGUGGUCAGUGAAACAUUUUCACCAGACCAAAGCCGGGGCAACCUGGCGCUUUUCGAUGGGCCCGCGGCCUAUCAGCUAGUUGGUGAGGUAAUAGCUUACCAAGGCAAUGACGGGUAGCUGGUCUGAGAGGACGACCAGCCACACUGGAACUGAGACACGGUCCAGACACCUACGGGUGGCAGCAGUCGAGAAUUUUUCUCAAUGGGGGAAACCCUGAAGGAGCGACGCCGCGUGGAGGAUGAAGGUCUUCGGAUUGUAAACUCCUGUCAUUGGUGAACAAGGUUCGCCGGUUAACUGCCGGUUGGGCUUGAUAGUAACCGAAGAGGAAGAGACGGCUAACUCUGUGCCAGCAGCGGCGGUAAUUC
rnacentral:rRNA from 1 species